rnacentral:lncRNA from 10 species
AAGCCACACCUUGUGACACUGAGGUAAGAGCAGAACGUUGCAGAGUGUGCAGGCUGGAGUGUGUGCUAAGGCUCUGUGUGCUGAUUACUCCUUGUGUGUCUCAUUGCUUACAGGAUUUUUUUUUUUGAGACAGGGUCUCACUGUGUCACCCAGGCUGGAGUGCAGUGGUGUGAACAUAGCUCACUGCAGCCUCGGACUCCUGACCUCAAGCAAUCCUCCCGCCUUAGCCUUCCAGGUGCUUGAGAUGAGAAACAGACUUUUUUUCCUUUGAGAAUUCAUUAUUUCUCCCCUUGGGCUGUUUGUUCAAACCCACACAGGAGCAGGAACAUUGCUUUCGAUUGCCAAAGAAAUGACAUAAUGAUGCCAAUGAUUAAAAUGUCAAGAACACAGUGUCUUGGGCUGAGAUGGUAAAGGCAGCAUUCAGGCAGUGAUGAUCUGGGGUGAUAGGAGUGGCUGUGGGGAGACGGAGGCCUCCCUUCUUGUAGGAUGGGACUCGGUCUUUCCUCUGCCUCAUUGCUAUUAUUGUCUUGUUUUAUUUUUGCUUUUGUUUGUUUGGGUAGGUGAAAAGGCAGGUCGGGUGAAGAAGAGCAGGAUGUUUCAUUUUUAUCAAGCAUCACCUGAUUCAAAAUGUAGCCACUGAAAAGAAGCCAUCGUUUUUGGCCUGCGUCUCUGAGGAUAAGAUAGUGCGUGGGUGAUGGAUGCAGCCCAGGUGGGAGCUGUCUGCAAAUAACCCAGCUGCUUCCUGUGGCCCUGGUCAUCCUGCUGCCCUCAGCUUCUCCCACGGAGGCCACCUGCCCCCCUAACACUGAGCUGCUCACCUAGUCCAGCCACCAGCGACGGCCCCUGGCCUUUGACGUGUCUGUUCUCUCCUCUCUCACUCCACCACCACUAGCUUCCAGGGAUCUCCAGCCUGUAUAGAAACUUCUCACUACGCUCUGCUCUCGCCCUUUUAGCAGUCUCCUUAUGCUGCUGACUCCACCUCCCAGGCAAAUCAUUCUAAUUUAAUUCUUUACAAGUAUUCUCCCUCCUGGAGUGCUGGGCUCCACCACGGGGGCAAUCAAGGCACAUCACCCACAGCUUUCCAGACACCCACAGCCUUCCUGUCCUGCUGUGAGCGUGGCUCCUUCAGCCUUCUUCCUUCUUCGCCUGUGGGGAGUCAGACAUUCGCCAACCUCGUGCUCAAUCCCUGCCUCUGUCCAGGCCUGCUAAGCCCAUAAGACAUAUCUGCAUGUGUCAGAAUAUGUGCAAGCUUUCGACAGGAUCCCCGUUUCUCCCCAUGGAGCUUUUGGCAAAUGAAGGGUGUGGUUCAGCAGCUGGUCUGAUGUCCCUUAAGCUCCCCCACACCAGCACACCAGGACUGUCUCUGUCUCCACAUUCCAGCAUAUCUGGGUCUCAGCUUUGACACAAUCAGACACUGUUGCUGAAGUUUUUAUGUUUAUAUGACAGAAGAAACUGUCACCCCUCCCCUGCCCCCCGCCAGCCUCAGGAGGACAACGUCAGAAACCAAAAGCUCCUCUGCCCAGGGAUGGGGACCCGCCGACUUCAAGGGCAGAACAGAUCAGCUAUGAAAAUACCCAGCCGGCCUGCAGCCCUCCCGGCAGAUGCUGAAAAGGAAACCCGACUGGGAGAUGCCGCCCACCCUUAUCCCCAGAGAGCUGCGUUGUUUCCUCUUGCCUUGGCCUUUGGAUCCGGCCAUAGCAAGCAUCCCUGGGCACCUGGCUGAAGCUGGAAACUCGGGAUAAGAAUGGAAGCCCUGGAAGGGAAGAAGAACCGAGGAGUGAGCUUGCCCUGAGGACAGCACAUUGCACUCUCACCUCCUUUGCAGUUAAGUGUGAAAUAGUGCCAAUAGAGUGUAAAAGAAAAGAAAGAAGAUGAUUCACCUCCCAAAGAUUCCCCACUGCUGUGUCCCUUCUAUCAACUUGAUACAAAAAAACACAAUGGCCCCGGGAACCACGUGUUGAAGAUGAGAGAGCUAAAAGAUGGAAAGAGACUGGAGCCCUGAGUCACCACCUGGAGGAAAACUACCCACCCAUCAGGAAUUUCUACUACACAUUUGGGAGUUUUUGGGGUUACAGCAGCUAAUUUAACGAAAACACCCAGAGACAAGAGCUAUUACUGCACAAAUUGGUUAAGUUACCUUUUUGUAUGUUUGGGUCCUCUCUAUUCGAUGAGACUGCGCGUUCCUUUGAAGCAAAUCUGUUUAAAAUUCUUAUAUCCCCAGAGGGCCUAGCAGAGAGUAUGCACAGAGUGAGCCUUCAGUAAAUGCUGAGUAAAUAAGCUCCUAAUGGAUGAAACUGUGUCUUCGAAGUUUGUUCUGACCAGUACUUAGUAUAGGAUUUUGUGCUGUUGGUCACUUUUCAUAAAGGUUCUUGCUAUUAAGGAACUUGACAUCCAAUGUACUCAUAGAAAGUAGAAAUUCAGGGGAAACAAAUAGAAGAGAUAUGUCCAAAAAUCCAUUUAAAAUUUCAUUGACAGAUAUUUAUCUCUUUAAUCCUGGAAGUUGUUUCAUGUAAGGGAAGGUUCAGUAGAAUGAAAACAGGACUGUAAGCUGGGAGGAGAUUUGGGGUCUCUUGGCCAACUCUGCCACAAAUUGUGUUACCUUCAACUUCCCUGCCUGUAAAAUGAAGUCAGUGGUCCCUAAAAUGAAAUUGGACUAAUGGCAAAUUAGCUAGCAUUUGAUUAUACAUCGAUAGUUUCCCCAUGUGAUUUUAACGCACAAAUCAGAUUUUGGAACCAUUAGGUAGGUGAUCUUAUCUUAUGAGUUUAUCUUUUUCAACAUGGAAAAAUAAAUUUGUUUUGCUGACCGAAGGCUGUGUAACUUAGAACUGGAAAGAGACAUGUAAUUGAAUAACCCAUCUCUAUGGGGCAAAAAAAUGAAACACCUUUAGUUUGUUCAAAGAUGAAAUGGAAAAAUAAACAUGUUUUAAGAUGACUUGGUAGAGAAAAUAUUUUCUUUGCCAGGAUAUUAGAGAAUUUGUCAAAAGUUAUUACACAGGAAAGUCAAAGGUUUCAUUGCAGGAACUUAAUAAAUAUUUGUUUAUUAGCUGAUUAAUGUGCUGAUCCAAGCAGAGAAGGAAUCCUGUCUUUGUUUUAAAGUCAGGAUUUCUAAUUUCCCUUUCAGGAUAAAAAUGUGCUCUGUGUUCAGCUAAGCAACCUAAACUGUCUAUUCCAUUAUUCAAACAAACACCAAAAAGGAUUGAAUGUAUCCUCUGGCAACCAAAGAUAAUACUCCCAGGUCAAGCUUCUUUCAGGCAGAUAUUAAUGGUUACUUUUAGUUAUUGAAAAAUAUUGCAUAAUUCAUGCGCUGUGCUUGACGAAGCAGAUCCCACUCUGGGGCCCUCAGGAAUUUGAGGCAGAAUUCCCUACUCUUUGAGGGUGUCUUCAUUCCCCACCCUGGGUGUUUAUCAUGCCUCUGAGUGAAACCCAUAGGAUGACAAUGGCAUAGCUUUUCAAAAAAGAAAUCAUCCAAAGUCCUUUCUAAAGUGCAGAAGUCAGAACUAUUGAUUCUGAAAUUGAGCCAUUUCCAGUGGUACCAAAGAAGUGGUAUAUUAUAGAAUUAGAAUAUGUCUUCUAUUCAGCACAUUCCAAAUCACUCUCUAUUCAAACAUACUCAAAAUGUAUUUUUAUUCAACAUAUUCAAAAUGUUCAUCCUUCAAAAAGUGCUUCCCCCAUUAGCCAGCCCCCUGCAAGUCAGUUGUUCCCACCUUUAUUCCACUGAUAUGGAGGUCAUUUGAAUGCUGUUUGCUCUGUUAAGAUGCUGUCAUUUGAACAAUACACUCACAUUUCAGGCAAAUUUGAAUCAUGCAAAUUUUAAAUAAUGCUAUGUAAAAUAGCAAUAAAAUACUACUGGAGAUUGCUCAAUUUCAGAAUGGGCAACAUUUGAAAUAGUCCAAAUUCCUCCAAAUUUGCAUGAUUUAUCCAGAAUGGCAUAACAAAUCCAGAGCACAGCCAGUGAAACUUACGCUGUGUUUGGACCCUGGUCUGGUGGCUGUGCCACAGUUGCGGUAAACAGAAACCUCCACAGGGAAACCUCCACAGGCCUUGGUCAGUGUGAUGGGGAGUAGUACAAUGAAUCAAAGCAGAUGUUUUCCUGAGUGAUUUUUGUGGCUAUAGUGCUGGGGUUUUUUUGUUUUUUUUUUUUUUUCAUUGUGUUAAUAAUUUAAUAUCUUUUCUAUCCUAUGAAAGUAUCAUGUAAGCUUUUAUAAUAUAGUGGCACUGAAAACGUGCUGUAAAUUAUGAUCCAUUCAGUAUGACAGGGGAAUGGUUCCAGGACCCCCGGCACCUUCCACCCCAGGAUACCAACAUCUGUGAUGCUCAACUAACUGAUAGAAAAUGGCCUAGGAUUUGCAUAGAACCUACUUACGUCUUCCUGUAUACAUUUUUUUUUUUUUGAGACGGAGUCUAGCUCUGUCUCCCAGGCUGGAGUGCAAUGGCACGAUCUCAGUUCACUGCAGCCUCCACCUUCCAGGUUCAAGCAAUUCUCCUGUCUCAGCCUCCCAAGUAGCUGGGAUUACAGGCACAUGCCACCACACCCAGCUAUUUUUUUUCUAUUUUUAGUAGAGACUGGUUUCACCAUGUUGGCCAGACUUAUCUCGAACUCCUGACCUCAAGUGACCCACCCAUCUCGGCCUCCCAAAGUGCUGGAGUUACAGGCAUGAGCUACCAUGCCCAGCCCCUUCCCAUAUACUUUAAAUCAACUCUAAAUUACUUAUAAUAUCUAAUGCAAUAUAAAUCCUAUGUAUAUAGUUGUUAUACUGUUUGGCGUAGGGAAUAAUGGCAAGAAAAAGCCUGUACAUGUUCAGUACAGACACAACCAUCUUUUUUUGUUUGCUUCCUGAAUACUUUCCAUCCAUGGUUAGUUGAAUCUGAGAAUGUUGAACCCCUGGAUUCCGAGGGCCAACUGUGGUAUGAAGUGACAUUAGAUGUGAUAGACGAAGAAGGCCUGUCACUGGCCGUGAUCCAUUGGGCCAUUAAUUUGGGAGAAAGACUCUGCAACAUAAAAGAGAUUCUGCUAGGAAGUGUUUUGAAGCAUCUUUAAAGCAAGGAUACCAUGAAUCUAGAUGUAGGCACUCUGAGAACAUACUCCCUUCCUGUCUUAUGAUUAUCUAUAGGAAAAUUAGACUUAGAUUAGGCACAUCUUGGAUGAUGCCUUUCUUCCGGAACGUGGCUACCUUUAAAUAUUUUCAUGUGAAUAUAGUGCACGUGCUUCCUAGAUUGUAAUCUCCUCGGAAGGAAGCAGAAACCAUCUGUUGUUUUUAUAUCCCACACUCCAGCUAGCUAACGACAAUAAUGGUGACAUUGUGACAGCAGUUUACUGUUUACAAAGUGCUUCUGUCUCAGUUCACCCUUGUGAUGACACUGCAAGGUGAGUUUUCUUGGUUUCUAAGUUUGACAGGCCAGGACCCAGAAGUGUAGAGAGAGUCAUUGAUUUGUCUGGGUCACUCGGCAACAAGUGGUGGGUAAGAAACUGGAGAAUGGGAAGCUGCAGGCAUGGGAUGGGAAGCUACAGGCAUGGGAUGGGAAGCUGCAGGCAUGAGAUGGGAAGCUGCAGGAAUGGGAUGGGAAGCUACAGGCAUCCGAAUGGGAAGCUGCAGGCAUGGGAUGGGAAGCUGCAGGCAUCCGAAUGGGAAGCUGCAGGCAUGGAAUGGAAGCUACAGGCAUCUGAAUGGACUUCUUGCAUCUGUCUCCCUUUGAAACCCUGCAUCUGAUUCCGUCUUCCGGGUACAGGCAUGUCUGGCAACACGGAGGAUGAACACCUCUCACCCUGCCUCCCUGCUGCAUGAUCUUUGACUGUGGUCCCUCACUCGUUCCUCAGAGCAUCAGUUCAUCAGGGGGACUCAUCUGGGGCUGGCUGGUGAGGAAGAAGGGUCCCUGGUGUGCACUGAUGUUCACUGCGUGGAAAUGUGUCCCUUGGGAUGGAGAAAAGUGGAGGGGCACACUCCAUAUCAAAGCAGAACUGUCAUAGCUGCCAGUCCCGGAGAAAGCAGCAGAAAAAGCCAGGGGACCGGCCACGUUCUAUUUCCAGCCAUAAUGAGUCAUGAGAUCGUGGAAAGGCCCUUUAACCUCUCCAGCCUUAAUUUCCUCAUUUGUAAAAUAAGAACAACACUUGUCUAAGCCACCUCACAAGACAGUUGUGAAUGAUGGGAAUGGUUUCUUUCUAACGUAUGUCACGCUUGGGCAGGGCUGCCCUGGGACCUCCGGUGAGCCUGCUGCAGGAGAGAAGCCUCCCCCCACCAUGUGAACACACCCUCCCCACCCAGCCCCCACACUCCCUGGCUGGCACACACGGGACUUCAUUAUUAUUGUUGUUUUAAAAAAUGAAUUUGGCAUUUUGCAUUUGAAGAAUAAAUAACAAAUAUUCUAGCUAGUCAAAUAAACUGAAAUACAUAUUUA